rnacentral:lncRNA from 1 species
AGUGGGAAGGGGGACUGGAAAGGGGAUGUAGUGGGAAGGUGGUCCUCCCCUGGAAUUUGGGUGUCAUGCCAUCAAGCUGUCCCUUUGAAGCCAAGCUGCUUCUCUCUGAUGUCCAGAUGCUGGUUCUCUUCUCUCCUUCUCUGCCACGCCGCUCUGCUGAAUUAUUGAUCAAAUUUGGAUCUCUGUGUGCUGUCCUCCAAUUUAAUACUUUCUGUGUUGCUGUUUUAUUUUCUUUCUUCUGGAACCUGGCAAAGUGCGUCAAGCGAUGAGGCUUCCUCUUUGAAGAUCACAGGUGAGAAGAUUAGGUGCUUUCUCAGAAGCCCAGCAACCUGAUGGGAGUGUGGAGUGAGCAAGACCCAAAUCGGAGCUUCAUCCCUGCAUGGUUCAUUUUGCUUAUUUGGCAAACUUGCCCUGCAGAAUCUACUCAAGCUUCCUCAGUUUCUCAAAUCAUUCUUGGGCAACAAAUGAACAAGAAAGAGGACGUCUUAUUAUCUGGUGUCUGGCUUGCUGAUUUAAUAACCUAGGAGACAGUGUUUGAAGAACACAAACUCUAAAGUCCUUCACUUAAAAAAAAAAAAAAACUUUCCCAAAUUGCUUACCAUUUGGAAAAAUUGCCUUACCUUCUUCAGUCAUCUCUGAUGUUGUCAUCCUCAGAGUAAGAAGUACGCAUUCAUAAGGAACCAUAACGUCCUUCAGGAAAUCCAGUACACCCUACAAUUUUACCUAAAACUUUGAUGUUGUUUUUUCUGAGCAUUUUACCUUCUAGGGAAAUGGAUCUCAUGCUGUUUAUCAGUUUCUGAAAGUUGUUAUUAAUCUCCCCUCAUCCCAAAAUUGAAGAACUUUGCUUAAAUCUUAGAAUCAGAACUUUGGCUCCAGUAAUAAAGACUUUUCAAUAUCUUUAUCUGCC